AGCCUCCACCCGCCACCCCAGGAACCUCGUGCUUCUAGGUAAUGAAUCUCCCACCACAGCUCCACUGGAUGGAACCGCCCCAGCUUCCUCCAGCCCAAACUGCUGCACCCACCACCCAGAGAAAUGGAAGUCAAGGACUCAGCAGUCCAAGGCAGCCCUUCUGAAGCAACUUCAGGGGCUCAGCAAAUAUUUGUUGAGAACCUCCUCUGUGCCUGGCUGGAUCAGGGUGGGGCUGUAGAGCUGCACAUCAUAGUCUGCAUCCGGGUCAGCCCUGAAUCUCAGGCACUGGAAGGUUACCCUGAUGGGCAGGACCCACUCCCAUCACUAAGAGAACAUCAAAAGGGCAGGUGUGGGGGUGGAUAGGAAGAUCAGGAUCUCUGAAAGGAAAUUUGCAUUGUGGUAACCUACAGACUCCACCUGGACCCAUGAUUCAUGACUCAACCAGUCCACCCAGAAGCUGACUCAGAGCAUAAGGAGCAUUUUCCACACCCCUAGGAUUUCAUCUCCAACCAAUCAGCAUUCCCCAUUCUCUAGCCCCUGUCCACCAAACUAUUCUUUAAAAACCUUAGCUCUAAGCUUUAUUUAUUUAUUUAAGUAAUACACUCCUGUCUUCCACUUAGCUGGUUCUGUAUUUAUUAAACUCUUUCUCUACUGCCAUACCGCUAUCUCAGUAAAUUAGCUCUAUCUGUGCAGUUGGCAAGAAGAACUGGUCAGGUGGUUAAAACACUACAGAUAGGCAUUGUUAAACAAAACAAUGGACUAAGCCCCUGCACUAGGCUCCAACAGAACAGACAAAAUCAAAAUGGAGUCACUCAUGCUAAAUGUCAUAUAAUCAAACUGAAACUCUAAGGAAGCUGAUAAAUCCUAAAACAGACCUUUUUUUUUCCUGAAAACAGGAAAUUUCAGUCUACCAGAGUCAACCUAGUAAGAAAGUUGCCUCUUCUUUGACCUUUAUGAGAAAGUAACCUGAAGUAACCUGACAUUAAUGAAUCAGCUUCUCUUCUACUAUUCUGUUUCCUUACUCCCACCUUACAAAGCUCACUGCUCUGCUUGCCCUAGUGAGAGAACUCAUUCUAUUGUGUAGAGUAGAGUCAGCCAUGAUUCAUGAAUUAUGAAUAAAAGACAAUUAGAUCUAUAA